AAAAGCCUAUGAUGAUUUUGUUAUCCCUGUCUGAACUAAUAAUGAAAGACUCUGUAAAAUCUGAGGCUUUG